rnacentral:rRNA from 1 species
GGGUUGUGAGGUUAAGCGACUAAGCGUACACGGUGGAUGCCCUGGCAGUCAGAGGCGAUGAAGGACGUGCUAAUCUGCGAAAAGCGUCGGUAAGGUGAUAUGAACCGUUACAGCCGGCGAUGUCCGAAUGGGGAAACCCAGUGCAAUUCGUUGCACUAUCGUUAACUGAAUACAUAGGUUAACGAGGCGAACCGGGGGAACUGAAACAUCUAAGUACCCCGAGGAAAAGAAAUCAACCGAGAUUCCCCCAGUAGCGGCGAGCGAACGGGGAGCAGCCCAGAGUCUGAAUCAGCUUGUGUGUUAGUGGAACGGUCUGGAAAGUCCGACGGUACAGGGUGAUAGUCCCGUACACCAAAAUGCACAGGCUGUGAACUCGAAGAGUAGGGCGGGACACGUGGUAUCCUGUCUGAAUAUGGGGGGACCAUCCUCCAAGGCUAAAUACUCCUGACUGACCGAUAGUGAACCAGUACCGUGAGGGAAAGGCGAAAAGAACCCCGGCGAGGGGAGUGAAAAAGAACCUGAAACCGUGUACGUACAAGCAGUGGGAGCACCUUCGGGUGUGACUGCGUACCUUUUGUAUAAUGGGUCAGCGACUUAUAUUCUGUAGCAAGGUUAACCGUAUAGGGGAGCCGCAGGGAAACCGAGUCUUAACUGGGCGUUAAGUUGCAGGGUAUAGACCCGAAACCCGGUGAUCUAGCCAUGGGCAGGUUGAAGGUUGGGUAACACUAACUGGAGGACCGAACCGACUAAUGUUGAAAAAUUAGCGGAUGACUUGUGGCUGGGGGUGAAAGGCCAAUCAAACCGGGAGAUAGCUGGUUCUCCCCGAAAGCUAUUUAGGUAGCGCCUCGUGAACUCAUCUUCGGGGGUAGAGCACUGUUUCGGCUAGGGGGUCAUCCCGACUUACCAACCCGAUGCAAACUACGAAUACCGAAGAAUGUUAUCACGGGAGACACACGGCGGGUGCUAACGUCCGUCGUGAAGAGGGAAACAACCCAGACCGCCAGCUAAGGUCCCAAAGUCAUGGUUAAGUGGGAAACGAUGUGGGAAGGCACAGACAGCCAGGAUGUUGGCUUAGAAGCAGCCAUCAUUUAAAGAAAGCGUAAUAGCUCACUGGUCGAGUCGGCCUGCGCGGAAGAUGUAACGGGGCUAAACCAUGCACCGAAGCUGCGGCAGCGACACUAUGUGUUGUUGGGUAGGGGAGCGUUCUGUAAGCCUGCGAAGGUGUGCUGUGAGGCAUGCUGGAGGUAUCAGAAGUGCGAAUGCUGACAUAAGUAACGAUAAAGCGGGUGAAAAGCCCGCUCGCCGGAAGACCAAGGGUUCCUGUCCAACGUUAAUCGGGGCAGGGUGAGUCGACCCCUAAGGCGAGGCCGAAAGGCGUAGUCGAUGGGAAACAGGUUAAUAUUCCUGUACUUGGUGUUACUGCGAAGGGGGGACGGAGAAGGCUAUGUUAGCCGGGCGACGGUUGUCCCGGUUUAAGCAUGUAGGCUGGUUAUCCAGGCAAAUCCGGAUAAUCAAGGCUGAGGUGUGAUGACGAGGCACUACGGUGCUGAAGUAACAAAUGCCCUGCUUCCAGGAAAAGCCUCUAAGCAUCAGGUAACAUCAAAUCGUACCCCAAACCGACACAGGUGGUCAGGUAGAGAAUACCAAGGCGCUUGAGAGAACUCGGGUGAAGGAACUAGGCAAAAUGGUGCCGUAACUUCGGGAGAAGGCACGCUGGUGUGUAGGUGAAGUCCCUGCGGAUGGAGCUGAGACCAGUCGAAGAUACCAGCUGGCUGCAACUGUUUAUUAAAAACACAGCACUGUGCAAACACGAAAGUGGACGUAUACGGUGUGACGCCUGCCCGGUGCCGGAAGGUUAAUUGAUGGGGUUAUCCGUAAGGAGAAGCUCUUGAUCGAAGCCCCGGUAAACGGCGGCCGUAACUAUAACGGUCCUAAGGUAGCGAAAUUCCUUGUCGGGUAAGUUCCGACCUGCACGAAUGGCGUAAUGAUGGCCAGGCUGUCUCCACCCGAGACUCAGUGAAAUUGAACUCGCUGUGAAGAUGCAGUGUACCCGCGGCAAGACGGAAAGACCCCGUGAACCUUUACUAUAGCUUGACACUGAACAUUGAGCCUUGAUGUGUAG